UUCAUUGCCUGACUGCCAGAGUUGUGCAUGCUCCCAAAUUAGACGUAUGGAAUGAAGGCUUUUAUCUCUGCUUCCUAUAUUUGCCUGGGAUGAUUACCACUGUAUUACUGAUUUAAUUUCUUCCCCUUUGGGUCCUGAAUCAAAGUUAUUUAGCACCUACCAUGUGGCAAGAUUGAUGCUCUAUUUCAGAGAAUGAGAUAAAUGCAGCAAUUUUUCUGUCUUGAAGAUGUUCAUAAACUAAUGAAGAAACAGGCAUCUGAUCCAUGCAUUAUCAACUCAAGCUAAUGGUUGGAUUACUUCUGCCACUUGGCUGACAAGUUGAGGAUUUAGAAAAUACUAUCCAAUUAAAAUCUGGCUGGAGUCCCAAUGGACAGAAGAAU